CCCUUAUAUGUCCUGGGCUGCACGCGUGCUACACUGAUGCAUACAACAAGUCUCCGAGCUCGAAAGAGUAAGGUAAUCUCUAAUAUGCAUCGUGAUGGGGAUAGAACCUUGCAAUUAUGGUUCUUGAACGAGGAAUUCCUAGUAAAUGUAAGUCAUCAUCUUACAUUGAUUAUGUCCCUGCCCUUUGUACACACCGCCCGUCGCUCCUACCGAUAUCGGGUGAUGUGCUGAACCUUACGGACAGUUCUACUAGAAGUAACGUAAAGCUUAUCACCUAGAGGAAGGAGAANUCGUANCA
rnacentral:rRNA from 1 species